CUGCCAGUGUUAUAUGCUUCUCUUAAAGAUUAAGCCAUGCAUGUCUAAGUUCACAUCAAUUUAAGGAUGAAACUGCGAAGCGCUCAGUAAAUCAGUUAUUAUCCGCUCGAUAGUAUAAGCCGUGGAUAACUGUGGCAAAUCUAUAGCUAAUACAUGAACGAACCGUGCCGCAAGGUGCGGGGCAUUUAUUAGCUCCUAACCAACCAGUAGGAGAAAUCUUACUGAAGUUGAAAAUGGAUAACUGUGCGUAUCGACCGGUUCGCCGGUCGAUUUUUCGAUCGAAUUUCUGCCCUAUCAACUUGUUGUUGGGGUAGUGGCCCAACAAGGUUUUGACGGGUGACGGGGAAUCAGGGUUCGAUUCCGGAGAGGGAGCCUGAGAAACGGCUACCACAUCCAAGGAAGGCAGCAGGCGCGAAAAUUACCCAAUCCGGAUUCCGGGAGGUAGUGACGAGAAAUACCAAAACGGGCAAUUGUUCGUUAUUGGAAUGAGACCAAUCUAGAAACUUGGUCGAGUAACAACUGGAGGGCAAGUCUGGUGCCAGCAGCCGCGGUAAUUCCAGCUCCAGUAGUGUAUAUCAACAUUGUUGCGGUUAAAACGCUCGUAGUUGGAUUACAGGGAUUGGGGACCCAUGGGUAUAAAGUUUGUACCUAUGGUUACUUGAUCCUUUUAUUGCAAAUUCCGUCGGUUGGCUUCACUGUCGGUCGGCGGUCAUUUGUGAAGCGUGCCUUGAAUAAAGCAGAGUGCUCAAAGCAAGCGUUACGCUAGAAUGUUGUAGCAUGGAACGAACAGCCAGACUUCUGGUUCAGUUGGUUGGUUAAACUUAAGCCGACUUCUUUGGCAAAGUAUCGCCAAUUAUUUUGUAGAUGGUACUAUCGUACCACUACGGAAAAGUUGGUGCUCUGCUUUGUCAAUCGUUGGUUCUAAGAUCUGAACCGGGUCAUGAUUAAAAGGGGCAUUUGAGGGCGUUAGUAUUUGGUGGCGAGAGGUGAAAUUCAUAGACCCACUAGGGACUCACAAAUGCGAAAGCGUUCGCCAAGAAUGUUCUCAUUAAUCAAGAACGAAAGUUGGAGGAUCGAAGACGAUCAGAUACCGUCGUAGUUCCAACAGUAAACUAUACCACCACGAAAUCAGCCCGUUUUUUUCGAUCAGGUUGGUUUCCCCGGGUAACCUAAAGUUUUCGGGUUCCGGGGGGAGUACGAUCGCAAGUUUGAAACUUAAAGAAAUUGACGGAACGACACCACCAGGAGUGGAGCCUGCGGCUUAAUUUGACUCAACACGGGGCAACUCACCAGGUCCGGACAUUGAAAGGAAUGACAGACUGAUAGAUCUUUCAUGAUACAAUGAUUGGUGGUGCAUGGCCGUUCUUAGUUGGUGGAGUGAUCUGUCAGGUUUAUUCCGGUAACGAGCGAGACCACGAUCCCUAAUUUAUAGCUCUGUCUAUAUAAACUUGAUUCUGUGGGCCGAAGCUGCUGCCGCUUUCUACUGCAAGGUGCAAUGGGAGUAAUUUCGUUGCGCUGAGCAGGGGGGUGGUGGCUAGUUGCGGUUUGCAGAACCCAAGUGGGGCAGAGAUAUUAGGGAGACCACCGUGCGGUUAUAAGCCGGAGGAAGCGUGGCAAUAACAGGUCUGUGAUGCCCUUCGAUGUUCUGGGCUGCACGCGCGCUACAAUGGCAGUGACAAAAAGUUACGGCUUCGAGAGAGGCCGUUAACCAUGAAUCGCUGUCGUACUUUGGAUUGAGCCUUGUAAUAAUUGCUCAUGAACGAGGAAUUCCUAGUAAGUAUGAGUCACCAACUCGUGCUGAAUACGUCUCUGUCGUUUGUACACACCGCCCGUCGCUACUACUGAUUGAAUAGGGCUUCGAAAAGUAGAGAUUCGAUUGUGAUUCAUUUUACGAUUGGAGAACCACUUUGAGAAGUCAUCGAAAAGAAGU
rnacentral:rRNA from 2 species